UAUAUAUUAAAUAGCAAUGUGGUAAUGUCUAUUUAUGGCUUUCUUGGAACUUGAUGGCUGCAAACUAGAUGAUAAGAUUAUAUUUGAUAUUUAUUCUAGAGUUUCUUGCUGAAGAUGGUGGAUCAACCCCUGGCUACGGCCGCUUUGACCUCUUGGCCAGCGAGGAGAGGUUCUGUGGAAUGGUGCAGUUCAAGGGUGAUGUGAUGAAGAAGGUCUUAGUGCAGCUGUUGAUGUUGCUCUGUCACCCCUUCCCUGUUGUGAGACCAUUAGCAGGCUACUUCAGUCCAGACUUAGCCUACAGGCGCUCGUGCUGUAACCCGUAUUUAAUUCUGACUCCAUUGUCUCUCUUGGGUCUGAAGAUCAGGAAGACGACAGCCAGCCAGGUAUAGGAUAUGCUCUUGACCUACGAUGAUGUCAUUGACGAUGAUCAGGGUGCUGGCUGAUGUCAUGGCCUCGCUUAGUGACACUAAUGGAAAGUGACAUCACCACAGUGCGUACCCAAAGGAAUCAGCUCUGUGAUUGGUUGGGAGUGCCCAAGCUAACUCUGGUCACCAAGUAACAUAUUUAGGCCACUGAAGAGGUUUUAUGUGAGAACAUUUUGUAUUGUGGGGACUGUUGCAUCAACCCGCAUCUGACAUCCAGAUGCUGCUUCCUGCGUUACUCAUCCACUGGUGGGCGAUACAUUAGUGGGCGUUUGGUCUCCUAAUCAGGCACAGAAACCGUCAGUUACCAGAAAAUAUGGCUUUCUCAAAAAAAUGUGAAGAUUGGCCAGCUCUGGUUGUUCACAUGCUGGAAUGCACAAUACAGCCCAUGGCAAGAGUGGAAUAGAUGAGCUGCCAUGAUAGUCCCUUUCACACAUAUACACUGUAAAAAAAUGACUGUGAUUUUAACGGUAAAGAACUGUGAAAAUGCUACAGUACAAACCUGUUUACCGGUUAACGGUAAUUUCCUGUAAACUUUACAGGGAAAAACCGUAAACUUACGUUCCCA